rnacentral:lncRNA from 1 species
GAAAGAUCUCCCAUGCUCAUGGAUUGGCAGGAUUAAUGUGGUAAAAAUGGCCAUUUUACCAAAAGCAAUCUACAGAUUCAAUGCAAUCCCCAUCAAAAUACCAAUCCAAUUCUUCAAAGAGUUAGACAGAACAAUUUGCAAAUUCAUCUGGAAUAACAAAAAACCCAGGAUAGCUAAAGCUAUCCUCAACAAUAAAAGGACUUCAGGGGGAAUCACUAUCCCUGAACUCAAGCAGUAUUACAGAGCAAUAGUGAUAAAAACUGCAUGGUAUUGGUACAGAGACAGACAGAUAGACCAAUGGAAUAGAAUUGAAGACCCAGAAAUG